rnacentral:rRNA from 1 species
AUUGGAGUCUGCAACCCGACUCCACGAAGUUGGAUUCGCUAGUAAUCGCGCAUCAGCCAUGGCGCGGUGAAUACGUUCCCGGGCCUUGUACACACCGCCCGUCAAGCCAUGGGAGCCGGGGGCGCCUGAAGUCCGGGACCGCGAGGACCGGCCUAGGGCGAAACUGGUAACUGGGGCUAAGUCGUAACAAGGUACC